GUGGGGAAUAUUGGACAAUGGGCGCAAGCCUGAUCCAGCAAUGCCGCGUGGGUGAAGAAGGUCUUCGGAUCGUAAAGCUCUUUAGCCGAUGAUUAUAAUGACUGUAGUCGGAAAAUAAGCCCCGGCUAACUUCGUGCCAGCAGCCGCGGUAAUACGAAGGGGGCGAGCGUUAUUCGGAAUCACUGGGCGUAAAGCGUGCGUAGGCGGCUUUGCAAGUUGGGAGUGAAAGCCCAGGGCUCAACCCUGGAAUUGCUCUCAAAACUGCAAGGCUGGAAUACGGGAGAGGAUAGCGGAAUUGUCAGUGUAGCAGUGAAAUGCGUAGAUAUUGACAGGAACACCAGUGGCGUAAGCGGCUAUCUGGACCGAUAUUGACGCUGAGGCACGAAAGCGUGGGGAUCAAACAGGAUUAGAAACCCGAGUAGUCC
rnacentral:rRNA from 1 species